rnacentral:tRNA from 1 species
GGGCGGUUGGCGCAGUGGUAGCGCGCUUCCCUGACACGGAAGAGGUCGGCGGUUCGAAACCGCCAUCGCCCA